rnacentral:rRNA from 1 species
AUAUCAAUAAGCGGAGGGAAAGAAACCAACAGGGAUUGCCUUAGUAACGGCGAGUGAAGCGGCAACAGCUCAAAUUUGAAAUCUGCCUCUAGGCCGAGUUGUAAUUUGUAGAAGAUGCUUUGGGUGUAGCUUCGGUCUAAGUUCCUUGGAACAGGACGUCAUAGAGGGUGAGAAUCCCGUAUGUGACUGGUAGCUUUCGCCCGUGUAAAGCUCUUUCGACGAGUCGAGUUGUUUGGGAAUGCAGCUCUAAAUGGGAGGUAAAUUUCUUCUAAAGCUAAAUACCGGCCAGAGACCGAUAGCGUACAAGUA